GUGCGACAAAUAAUUAACAGGUGUUAAUUGCUCUGUAACAGGCACAAACUGUGACCGUCCCAGACACCCUGUGCUAGAGAGCUCCUGAGGAAUCUGAAGUAGGGGUGUGACGGGAGCAGAUUUGCAGUUCAGAAAGGUCGCUGGCUGCAGUGGGAAAGACGGGUGGCACGUAUUUUUAUUGGAAAAGAUAAAACACGCUCAGUAUAAAGAAUUCAGAUGGUGAAAACUGCGCAGUGACAGGUAGUCGAUGACAGGCACUCAUUACGCUGCUAGAGCUUAACUGCUCUGCCGGGGUCACCUGCCCGAAUUCGAAGUUCACCCGAGAGGGAACAGGAUAAGAGUGGGGUCCCAGCAGGGAAGACGAGCUAUAGCCGGCGGUGUGCUGGCCUCUGAGGCAGGGGCUGCUCUCAGGCAUCUCUCUCUGGAGUUCACUUCUAUGGGUGAGUACUGAGGGGCUACUGUGUGCCGGGCUCAGGAGAUGCAAGGAUGAGGAAAGUCCAGUCUCUUCCUCUGAGGUCCCGUGGCUGAGUGGAGGAGAUAACCUAGUAAACAGGUUCCUUGGAGGAAAUGCAACAAACUAGAGGGAAGAAACCAGGAUGAGGGGCACCUAACCCAGCAUGGGGCAAUCAGGAGAGACUUCCUGGAGGAGGUGAUACCCGAGCUGGGUCUUGUAGCACGAGAGAGUCAGCCUGGUGGAAGUUGUGGAAAGAUGUUUCUCACCACUGGAGCAGCCUCUGCAAAAGACACAGGCGUGGGCUAGCGCGGCAUGUCAUGGGGGCUACAAGUACAGUGUCUGACAGUGCUGGGACCCAAAGUCUAGAAAGGUCGUGUCGCUGGCAUUGUGCCUGGCACAGAGUAGCUGUGGCAAUUGCUGUGGAAUAAAGAACAACUUGAAGGGGACCAGGACUUUCUUUAGACAAGAGACGGGGUGAGUUUCCUGAGCAAAUCAGUGUGAAUGUCUACAAGCGCCUGGGGAGACAUUUUCCCCAGGAAGAGCAAUUUUCUGACUGGCUUGUUUGAUUUUUGCCAUUUCGGAUGUGGCGAAUAUUUUUAUUGUGGUAAUUUGUGAGGUUAGCAAUUGUUGUUUUGAACACUUAAAAAUACAGAAAACUUCAAAAGAUGAUAUGAUUUUCAGGUUCCUGACACCCCAGUGAACAGAUAUUACCAUGUUUUCGUGUAUACUUCAGACCUUUUCGUUUGCUUGUUUUUCUGACAUAAAACACUACAGAUAAAAUUGAAGCCCCUUCUGUUCCCCAUCAUCUCUCCUUAGAGGAAACCGUUGUCAUGAAUUCUGGAUGCAUCCAUGCUGU
rnacentral:lncRNA from 1 species